GACGAACGCUGGCGGCGUGCUUAACACAUGCAAGUCGAACGGAAAGGCCCUGCUUGCAGGGUACUCGAGUGGCGAACGGGUGAGUAACACGUGGGUGAUCUGCCCUGCACUUCGGGAUAAGCCUGGGAAACUGGGUCUAAUACCGGAUAGGAGCCAUUUUUAGUGUGAUGGUUGGAAAGUUUUUUCGGUGUAGGAUGAGCUCGCGGCCUAUCAGCUUGUUGGUGGGGUAAUGGCCUACCAAGGCGGCGACGGGUAGCCGGCCUGAGAGGGUGGACGGCCACAUUGGGACUGAGAUACGGCCCAGACUCCUACGGGAGGCAUCAGUGGGGAAUAUUGCACAAUGGGCGCAAGCCUGAUGCAGCGACGCCGCGUGGGGGAUGACGGCCUUCGGGUUGUAAACUCCUUUCGCUAGGGACGAAGCUUUUUGUGACGGUACCUAGAUAAGAAGCACCGGCUAACUACGU
rnacentral:rRNA from 1 species